CAGUGGGGAAUUUUGGACAAUGGGGGAAACCCUGAUCCAGCCAUCCCGCGUGUGCGAUGAAGGCCUUUCGGGUUGUAAAGCACUUUUGGCAGGAAAGAAACGUCAUGGGCUAAUACCCCGUGAAACUGACGGUACCUGCAGAAUAAGCACCGGCUAACUACGUGCCAGCAGCCGCGGUAAUACGUAGGGUGCAAGCGUUAAUCGGAAUUACUGGGCGUAAAGCGUGCGCAGGCGGUUCGGAAAGAAAGAUGUGAAAUCCCAGAGCUUAACUUUGGAACUGCAUUUUUAACUACCGAGCUAGAGUGUGUCAGAGGGAGGUGGAAUUCCGCGUGUAGCAGUGAAAUGCGUAGAUAUGCGGAGGAACACCGAUGGCGAAGGCAGCCUCCUGGGAUAACACUGACGCUCAUGCACGAAAGCGUGGGGAGCAAACAGGAUUAGAUACCCUGGUAGUCCACGCCCUAAACGAUGUCAACUAGCUGUUGGGGCCUUCGGGCCUUGGUAGCGCAGCUAACGCGUGAAGUUGACCGCCUGGGGAGUACGGUCGCAAGAUUAAAACUCAAAGGAAUUGACGGGGACCCGCACAAGCGGUGGAUGAUGUGGAUUAAUUCGAUGCAACGCGAAAAACCUUACCUACCCUUGACAUGUCUGGAAUUCCGAAGAGAUUUGGAAGUGCUCGCAAGAGAACCUGGAACACAGGUGCU
rnacentral:rRNA from 1 species